AAAUGGCCCUCUAUUCUCUAUAGAGGGAAUCCAAAUGGCCCUCUAUUCUCUAUAGAAGGAAUCCAAAUGGCCCUCUAUUCUCUAUAGAGGGAAUCCAAAUGGCCCUCUAUUCUCUAUAGAGGGAAUCCAAAUGGCCUUCUAUUCUCUAUAGAGGGACUCCAAAUGGCCCUCUAUUCUAUAUAGAGGGACUCCAAAUGGCCCUCUAUUCUCUAUAGAGGGAUCCAAAUGGCCCUCUAUUCUCUAUGUAGGGAAUCCAAAUGGCCCUCUAUUCUCUAUGUAGGGAAUCCAAAUGGCCCUCUAUUCUCUAUGUAGGGAAUCCAAACUCCUAAAGGGUUAGGGACCGACUCCUAAAGGGUUAGGGGUUAGGGACCGACUCCUAAAGGGUUAGGGGUUAGGGACUGACUCCUAAAGGGUUAGGGACCGACUCCUAAAGGGUUAGGGGUUAGGGACUGACUCCUAAAGGGUUAGGGGUUAGGGACUGACUCCUAAAGGGUUAGGGACUGACUCCUAAAGGGUUAGGGGUUAGGGACUGACUCCUAAAGGGGAUUGUAGGCUACCAAAGGAAAGGGUAUAUUUUUAUUUUCAUAAUUGUUGAUCAUUUUCUUAUGUAUUAUUUUUUUUUACAAAUUAUAUUUCAAUAAAGAACAUCGUCUGUUCA